rnacentral:rRNA from 1 species
CCUACGGGAGGCAGCAGUGGGGAAUAUUGGGCAAUGGAGGAAACUCUGACCCAGCAACGCCGCGUGAAUGAUGAAGGUCUUCGGAUUGUAAAGUUCUUUUCUAAGGGAAGAAGAAAGUGACGGUACCUUAGGAAUAAGCCUCGGCUAACUACGUGCCAGCAGCCGCGGUAAUACGUAGGAGGCAAGCGUUAUCCGGAAUGACUGGGCGUAAAGGGUGCGUAGGUGGUUUGACAAGUUGGUAGCGUAACUCCGAGGCUUAACCUCGGCACUACUACCAAAACUGGUGGACUCGAGUGCAGGAGGGGCAAAUGGAAUUCCUGGUGUAGCGGUGGAAUGAGUAGAUAUUAGGAGGAACACCAGUGGCGAAGGCGACCUGCUAGAACAUAACUGACGCUGAUGCGCGAAAGCGUGGGGAGCAAACAGGAUUAGAUACCCGGGUAGUC